AUGCCCUAGGGCUAGUGGAAGACUUAAGAUGGCGGCGUUUGCACGGAGUGCAAUCACUGCGUCCUUACGGGGGUUGCAAGGCGUCCGAAGUAUGAGUCCACUAACAAAAGUCCAGAAACUCGCCAGUUAAUAGUAUUGUGUCUCUUCAAAAUAUCGGAGAAUAAUUUCUUUCUCGCUGAUCGCCUAACUUCUACUGACGAAGCUUGGAAGUUGCAGAAGAUGGAGUUCGCUCUUGUUGCCCAGGCUGGAAUGCAAUGGCAUGACCUUGGCUCACUGCAACCUCUGCCUCCCCAGUUCAAGUGGUUCUCCUGCCUCAGCCUCCCGAGUAGCUGAGAUUACAGAAAUACAAAAAAAAUUCUAAAACUUGUAUGGAACUACAAAAGACAUUAAAUAAUCAAAGUAAUCUUGAGCAACAAGGACACAGCUGGAGGCAUCACUCUACCUGAUUUUGUAAUCCAUUAUCAAAAAACUGUGGUACCAGCAUAAAAACAGAUUCACUGACCAGUGGAACAGGAAAGCCCAGACAUAACUCAUACAUUUCCAUCCAAUUGAUUUUUGACAAAAGUGGCACACAGAAUGGGGAGAGGACAAAUAAAUAAAUAAAUUGUUUUGAGAUAUCUGUA
rnacentral:lncRNA from 1 species